AGGGAAAUAGCUCAGUGGUAGAGCACAUGCCUAGUAUGCAUGAGGUCCUGGGCUCAAUCCUCAUGUAUCUCCA
rnacentral:tRNA from 1 species